AGCGAACGCUGGCGGCAGGCUUAACACAUGCAAGUCGAGCGGACCUUUCGGGGUCAGCGGCGGACGGGUGAGUAACGCGUGGGAACGUGCCUUCCGGUUCGGAAUAACCCUGGGAAACUAGGGCUAAUACCGGAUACGCCCUUAUGGGGAAGGGUUUACUGCCGGAAGAUCGGCCCGCGUCUGAUUAGCUAGUUGGUGGGGUAACGGCCUACCAAGGCGACGAUCAGUAGCUGGUCUGAGAGGAGGAUCAGCCACACUGGGACUGAGACACGGCCCAGACUCCUGCGGGAGGUAGCAGGGGGGAAGAUAGGACAGUGGGCGCAAGCCUGAGACAGCCAUGCCGGGUGAGUGAUGAAGGCCUUAGGGUUGUAAAGCUCUUGUAACCGGGACGAUAAGGACGGUACCGGAGGAAUAAGCCCCGGCUACCUGCGU
rnacentral:rRNA from 1 species